rnacentral:lncRNA from 1 species
GAGAUCAUUUUUUAAGUCAAGAAACCUAGAUCUCAUCAAAGAUCCAAGUACAUUCUCAGAUGCUUCCACCUCAUUCGAGAAAUUAUUGAAAGAUAAGAUAUUGUCUUAGAAUGAGUUAAUACAGUGGACCCAUUCACUGAGGCCAUACCAUAGCUCUGUUUGAUCACCAUCUCGAUUAUAUGGGAUUGAGAUACAAAGGUGAUUGACUUUAGUGCAAGUGGGAGAUUAAAAGAAGAGUGCUCUACAAGCCAAUCGCAUGAGUAAUAUGAAGGAACUUUUUUUUAUAAACUUUCAACUCAUGUAAUGACACUAUUCAUUUAUUAAUAAAAUGAGAUAUUGAUUUAUCAUUAUAGCUGCAUCUUAUUGUGUUUAAGAUUAUGAUGAACC